rnacentral:rRNA from 1 species
AUACGUAGGGGGCGAGCGUUGUCCGGAAUUACUGGGCGUAAAGGGUGCGUAGGUGGCACUUUAAGUUGGAUGUGAAAUCCCCGUGCUUAACAUGGGAGCUGCAUCCAAUACUGGAGAGCUAGAGUGCAGGAGAGGUAAGCGGAAUUCCUAGUGUAGCGGUGAAAUGCGUAGAUAUUAGGAGGAACACCAGUGGCGAAGGCGGCUUACUGGACUGUAACUGACACUGAGGCACGAAAGUGUGGGGAGCAAACAGGAUUAGAUACCCUGGUAGUCCACGCUGUAAACGAUGAAUACUAGGUGUAGGGGGUAUCAACUCCCUCUGUGCCGCAGCAAACGCAAUAAGUAUUCCGCCUGGGGAGUACGGCCGCAAGGUUGAAACUCAAAGGAAUUGACGGGG